CAGUGGGAAAAGAAUUAUUACAUCAGCUCAAUAGUAGGGGCUGCUAAUGGGAGUUCUUUGGUUGUCAUGUCUAAAGGUUGCUUAUUAGUAAGAUACCUAGUGGAGUUUACAAGUUAUCCAAAGAGGCCAUACUCACAGCAGAGUUGCCUAUGGCAUUCACCAUACAAACAAACUGGAAGGUUUCCUUUCCAAGGGAUCUCCUUUGUUCAUUCUGUAGUCAACAUCUUUUAUCCAAACCUGUCUUCUCUAUUGCAGGAGUAUCUAGCUCAAUAAAAAGGCACUUGUCUCUCAUGGGCAACCUUUACAAUCUAACCAACGUACCCUUCUAGCUGCCUCGGUGUUAUUGGUCAGAUCAACUAUGAAUUAUGGGGAGAUGCAUGAUGAGCCUUACAAUCUAUAGGGGCUUGAGGCUGCUUUUUACAAGCUUCUCAACCUAAAGAUUGCUGCCUCCAAGCUUUCCUCAAGUACCUGCACCCAUUGUUAAUGAUCCUGCCUUCUAGUAAUGGCUAGAUCUUGAUAUUGUUGGCAGGCAGAAUUGAUCCUGGUGUGGAUAUAAGCUUGUGAAUGUCAACUAUGCCAAGAAACUAAGGUAUUUGCUAGAAAAGGAUCCUCAUUUAGAAGAAUAUGGUUCAGAAUUUAAAGUGAAAAUCUACAAUUAGACCCUCUUUUGAGAAUUUUAGUUUGGUAUAAAAUGUAUCUUACGAUGCAUAUACUUGAUUCCUACCAUUACUAAGGUAAAUUCUGUAGACAUGGAUGGGAAGUGGCAUGUUUUGUGAUUCCUAUU